GAGUAAUGUCUGGGAAACUGCCUGAUGGAGGGGGAUAACUACUGGAAACGGUGGCUAAUACCGCAUAACGUCGCAAGACCAAAGAGGGGGACCUUCGGGCCUCUUGCCAUCAGAUGUGCCCAGAUGGGAUUAGCUUGUUGGUGAGGUAACGGCUCACCAAGGCGACGAUCCCUAGCUGGUCUGAGAGGAUGACCAGCCACACUGGAACUGAGACACGGUCCAGACUCCUACGGGAGGCAGCAGUGGGGAAUAUUGCACAAUGGGCGCAAGCCUGAUGCA
rnacentral:rRNA from 1 species